AUUUUGAACCAGAUUUGACAGCGGCAGUCGAGCUCUCAGAGAUGAUAAAGUCCCUCUGAGUUCCAGGGAAAUCUCUGCCGGCGCUGAGAAGAGAGGCUUUCCAGAUCCACUGCUGAAGAAAAGGCAGGGAGAGCUCAGCUGUUAUCCAUUCUCUCUGGCAGCAUCCAGAUGGCCAAUUAUCACACGUCUACUUCUGGACCAGCAUCUGCUCUCCCCUGCCCAGCUGGCAGGCUGAGAAGAUUAGUGCCGUGGCUGGUGGAAAAAUAGCUCUAGAAGUGUGAAAUUCAUUAAUUCAUGAGAGGCAUGAGAAGCUUGAUUUAUGUCAAAAAGCAUUUGUUUGACACUUUCUCCUGACCUGGGAGGUCAACAGGCUGCUGAGAUGUGUCUUAGAAAGCUGCAGGAUUGGCAGAGCAGAAACCUUCAGUGGGAUCUGAAGAGUUGCACAUAUAAGACAAAAUCCAAGCUUGUCUGAGGUACCCAAUGAUGUCACACCUCCAGCUGUGGAAUUGGCAGGUGCUCCUGGGUUCUCAUCAGCCCCUUUCAAGGCGUGAGGGAAACCAUCUCGGUCCUCUGUGAUCUGCUCCCUGGGAUACAGAUAGCAGGACAAAGCAGUCAUUCUCUUUUUCUCCCAUGGAAUGGAAGAUCUGAGCAAGACCUGCAGGUUGUCCCUCCAACGCUGGGCUGAGCUGGGAUUAUUUCCUCACAGGUUCUCCACAGAGGUAAAUGCUGUCCAACACAAUCACUGAGUUUAGA